GCUUGCUUUUUCCACCCGACCACUCCUCACUACAGGAGCAGACAGCUUCUCCUCUUCCGACGAAAUCAGAGCAGGCCACCGAGGUUCGCCUUCCUCUUUGCAUUUGAAGCGGAGGGCGUGUUUCAGUACCAAGGAGAUCGCUGAUAUGGCCUCUCUCCACCAAGGAUGGGUAAUGACUAAAACGGGUCCUUAAUGAGUAUGGCAAGAUCGGGAAUUGAUCCUUUUAAUCGCAUCUCUUGGUUUUGGCUCCAUCAUCCGACCGAGGUCAGUUUCGAAGUGACUUUUGCUGUUGAUUUCUCGCGUCCGACAAGUAUACCAACCGCAGUUACAGAGCAGUUGAAUGGAGGAGUAAUUCUCAUUUCUUGUCCGUGAUUUUUUUUCAGUCUUUGGUUUAAUUCGCGACCGUGCUAAUCCCAGGGCGUAUCUGGUUAUAGAUAGGUUUGAGGCACCAAAUUAGUCGAUAAACUGAGCUCUAGUUCUUAAUCUUCUUUUGUAGCUUAACUCGUCUUUUUCAGUUCAACAUUGUAUAUUCUCUGUGUGCAUCUGCUUAUUUCGUUUGCCUCUCCACACUCUUCCUUUUAUAUCUUUUCUUGCUUUGAAGAGUUUCAAGGACUGUCUAAAACAGGCUUGAUUCUGAAAAGCCAUAUCAUGUCCUUGGCCGUUUUAUGUUCGUCUUUUUCAUGAGGAAGCAAAUUGCAGUUCUCAGAUAAAAUAAGUAGCCAGGAAUAAUAAUAUCUGCUUGUUUCCAUAAAUGGAUCCUCUUCCCGUGAUUCAAUCCUGUUCUUUCUGGGGUUACUUUGCUUUAGAUAACGAGCAACAAUUCUUUCUUAAGCUGUUACACCAAGUUUGUUCUACAUUUUUGUCCUUUGGGAUCUAUUUUCCCAUGAUAUGCAGUAGCUAACAUGGUGUUGCAAUCAUUCCAGUCAGAUCAAAAUUAUCAAUCUCAUUCAAUGGGGCAAGGUUUGAUCAUUGAUGUUGUUGUUACAGUCAACUCGAACUGCUAGAAGGCUAUCUUGUGGAGAAGGGGUAUGGAGAUAAAUUGGCAAAAGCUGAUGCAUGCCUGAUAGAGCAAAGCCUUUUUGCCAGCUCUAUUGAAAUGUUAGUGUGAUAAAACGUAUCAGCUCCUUUUGGACUGAGGGGUCUCCACCAUAGGUACCGUCAUCUGCAAAAAUAUAAUUCUACACCAUAUGAAUCCUCUUUUAUUAGUAAGCGCACCAUCAUCGUAAUUCAUUUUAUGAGAAGCUUAUCCGACAAUCCUCGACAGCCAUGACCAUCUGC